GUUUAAAGCUUCCGUUAAAAUAAAUACCAUAUAAUAAAAUCGAGAAAAUAUAUCUGGUUGUGUAAGGUUUACUUGAAUUAAAGUUUUUGAUAUGGAAUUUAUUUGGAAAACAUCCAAUGUAUAAGACUGAAGAAAGAUUUAUUAAUAAAAAUUACAAAAUUUGGUGUUAAUAGUAAACUUAAAAGUAUGGCUAGAAUGACCAAUUAAUAACUUCAAUAGAAAUUUAAUAGAUUUAGCUCAUUGUACGUUUAGGGGGCAUUCUAUGAUUUUUGGCAAUGUAGACUAUCGACCAAAAAUUUGAUGCCAUUGCAUGUUUCAUAGGUUUCAAAAAGUAAAAAGUCACAAAUAGGCGGCCAAGACGAGAACUUCUCGGUCCAAUUCGUGAAGAACAACCGUUAAUCUACUUGUGAAACGACUUUGAAAUGCUGAAAGGAAUCUGGUGUUUCUACGUUUAACGACCUUUUGCAUCAGAGAUGAAAGAAAUGAAACGAAACGUAAAAUUACGAAGAACCAAAAAUAUAUCUAACAGAAGGAUAAUAAGCUAUCACAGGUAUCUUGUUUAUCUAAAAGAUUAAGAUACGUAGAAACUUACUGGUAAGCAUUUUGGUGACGG